CAGAGUGCAGUAGUGUGAUCUCAGCUCACUGCAACCUCUGCCUCCUGGGUUCAAGCAAUUCUCAUGUCUCAGCCUUUCAAGUAGCUGGGAUUACAGGUGUGUACCACCAAACCUGGCCUAUAUUUUUCUUUUGUCUUUAUACCUUUCUUGACUAUAUAAUUUUUUUCAUAAAGAUCUUGAUAGGGAGGGAGGGAUUAUUUACAUUUUUCAAACACAAAAAUAUGUAGAAAAAGCUCUGGGUGAGGUUAGAGGCAAGAGAACAAGCUUUCUGCAGCAGGGAGUCUGGAGGUUUUGUGCAGAAGGUUCCCCAAGAAACUUUAAGUGGUGGCCUCACUGAGCCAGGACCCACCCCCGCCCCCAGAGACCUAGGUCUGGGCUCGCCCCCCAUCCCCAGGAGUGCUGGAUCAGCACCCAUGCAAAGCAGCUGCAUGGUUACUUGUUACCAAGGCUGAUGCACAGAUGGAACUCUUUGAAUUGAUUCAAUAUGUCUAUUGAGUGUCAAUUUCUCCCAAAACCAUGAGGAACUUCAUCAUGUUCCCCGUCCUGGGA
rnacentral:lncRNA from 1 species